AACUGAGGUGACAGCCAGGGGCAUGCGUAGACUUCUCUGCACAAAUCAGUCACGCUGGAGACUGAAGUCCACAGCAGCAUUGAUCCAAGUGGUGAACGCACCCCUGUCCUGGGCUGUCCUGACCCUGCGUCUGUCCCCUCUAUAAUGGGGAGGGGGCAGCAUCUUCGCACCUUUCCAGGGUGGCCCAUGUCACCUCCAGGAGUGAGGUGAGGCACCCCCACCUCUCCCAGGUUCUGAGGCUGGGAAGUCCAGAGCAUAGCACCUGCCUCUGCUGGGCACGUGGUGGGGACUUCUUGCUGCAUCAGGACAUGGUGGUGUGUGUCACAUGGGAGACAGCAGCAGUGCCAGCUUGGGUCUCUUCCUCUUCUCAUAGAACCACUGAUCACCUUCUGCAGGCCCAUGUACUAUGAGCAUAUGAACUUGGCUGGAUGCAUUGAAACCCCGAGUGGAACAUAGUCCGCUCCCUCCACCUUGCAGAGCGCGGCCCCGGGCUCUGGUCCCAAGAUAGGAGAACAGUCCUGGAGCCCAGUGUGGGCUGUGAAGUGCUGGCCACAUCCUUCCUCCUGUCCUGCAAGGGCUGCACAGAGCACGGCUAGUCCUCUGGGAGUGCUAAGUCUGCAGAUGCCCCCAGCACCGAGCUCGGGAGACUGUCCUUCCCCAUGACCUCCCAUCACUGGUCUGCACGUGUCUGCGCUGUAAGAACUAAGGCACAGCAAACAUGAACCGGAGUGAGCAUGGUCCAGACUGCGUGUGGUGACAGACACAUGCUGCUGGUGUCACGAUGGGAAGGGACAAGUCACGAGAGAGGUGAGAUGAAUGACCCAAGCCUGAGUUCUGGGAGGGCUUUGCACCUGAGAGUCCCCGAAGGCUCUGGUGAGAGGGGCGAGCAGUCAGAUGUCUCCUCUCCAGGGCCCCCAGUCCUGGGCAAGGAGACGGCAGAGACCGAAGACAACCAGAAAGCCACUUCAGAGGACAGUGACGCAGGAGGGCAGCAAACCAGGGCUGUGGGGCAGCAGGCUUGGCAGGGAGAGUGGCCUUGGGUGGGCACUGCCCCCGGGCAGAGGUGUGGACACGGGACGUGCCAUUUACCUCUUCUUUCUCUGGUCUCUGAGCAGAGGUUCUUGGUGACGGGGGAAGAACUGGAGAGAGGAGAGCGGGAUGAGCCCUGAGACUGGAGGACAGAUACAGUGGCCGCAUUCAGUAGCAUCAAAGGUCCAUUUGCAAUCUGUUGCCCAGAUAUCUGUGUGAUUUUCUCCAGAGGAGCUUGGAGGGCAGAUGUUUCACUGCUGUGCUCCCCCAGGGCUGGAGCAUUGUGGCAAGGGCGAUGGGACAGAGGAGCCAAGGCACAGAGAUUGAAGACAAGGGAGGAGCCCAGUCGCACGGCCAAAGCUAUGAUUCCUCACAGCUGAGCGGCCAGGUGGACCGUGGGGGUUGGGCUCCCCUCCUCAGGAGCAGGCCAAGGAGGGACAGCAGUGACCAAAAGGUUGGGACUCUGCCUGCUUCCACGGCUUCUGCAUGGAUCCCAGUCAAUUUCAACUGCCUUGGCGUGAACCAGAUGAAGUGUCCCCUCGCAGACUGGGCUUUUCCUAUAAGAAAAAGGUUUCGUCUAAGUCUAAAAACCACUGUAGUGCCCCUUAUCCUCAGGAAUGAGUUUCAAGAUCCUCUGUGGAGGCCCGACUGAGGAAAGCACCAAACCUACAAACACAACGCUUUUCCUAUGCAUAAUACCUGUGAUAAAGUGCACUUCAUAAAUUAAGCUUAGUAAGAAAAAGACAUUGAUAACUAAUAUUAAAAAAGAAUAAUUACAACAAAAUAUUUCAAUAAAGCUAAUGAAUGUGGUCCCCCCAGUCUCAAAA